rnacentral:rRNA from 1 species
GAGCUUUUAGCUCUAGUGGCGGACGGGUGAGUAACACGUGAGAAUCUGCCCUUAGGAGGAGGAUAACAGCUGGAAACGGUUGCUAAUACUCCAUAUGCCGAGAGGUGAAAGGAUUUAUCCACCUAAGGAGGAGCUCGCGUCUGAUUAGCUAGUUGGUAGGGUAAAGGCCUACCAAGGCGACGAUCAGUAGCUGGUUUGAGAGGAUGAUCAGCCACACUGGGACUGAGACACGGCCCAGACUCCUACGGGAGGCAGCAGUAGGGAAUUUUCCGCAAUGGGCGAAAGCCUGACGGAGCAAUACCGCGUGAGGGAUGACGGCCUGUGGGUUGUAAACCUCUUUUCUCAAGGAAGAAGUUCUGACGGUACUUGAGGAAUAAGCAUCGGCUAACUCUGUGCCAGCAGCCGCGGUAAUACAGAGGAUGCAAGCGUUAUCCGGAAUCACUGGGCAUAAAGCGUCUGUAGGUUGUUUGGUAAGUCUGCUGUUAAAGACUGGGGCUCAACCCCAGAAAAGCAGUGGAAACUGCCGGACUUGAGUGUGGUAGAGGUAGAGGGAAUUCCUAGUGUAGCGGUGAAAUGCGUA